AGGAUGAACGCUAGCGGCAGGCUUAAUACAUGCAAGUCGUGGGGCAGCACAGGUAGCAAUACUGGGUGGCGACCGGCAAACGGGUGCGGAACACGUACGCAACCUUCCUUUAAGUGGGGGAUAGCCCAGGGAAACUUGGAUUAAUACCCCGUACGAUUGAGGUGUGGCAUCACACUUUAAUGAAAGCUACGGCACUUGAAGAUGGGCGUGCGGCUGAUUAGGUAGUUGGCGGGGUAACGCCCACCAAGCCAACGAUCAGUAACUGGUGUGAGAGCACGACCAGUCACACGGGCACUGAGACACGGGCCCGACUCCUACGGGAGGCAGCAGUAAGGAAUAUUGGUCAAUGGACGCAAGUCUGAACCAGCCAUGCCGCGUGGAGGAUGAAGGCCCUCUGGGUUGUAAACUUCUUUUAUCUGGGAAGAAACCACUUCUUUUCUAAGGGUGUUGACGGUACCAGUUGAAUAAGCACCGGCUAACUCGCGCCAGCAGCCGC
rnacentral:rRNA from 1 species